rnacentral:rRNA from 1 species
GACGAACCGUGCGAACGUUGUUCGGAAUCACUGGGCUUAAAGGGCGCGUAGGCGGGCCCGCAAGUCAGGGGUGAAAUCCCACGGCUCAACCGUGGAAGUGCCUUUGAUACUGCGGGUCUCGAGGGAGGUAGGGGCGUGCGGAACUUCCGGUGGAGCGGUGAAAUGCGUAGAUAUCGGAAGGAACACCGGUGGCGAAAGCGGCGCGCUGGACCUCUUCUGACGCUGAGGCGCGAAAGCCAGGGGAGCAAAGCGGG